AAAUCAGUCAAUAAAUCUAAAUUUUCAUUAUUUUUAUAUAUAUGUAAUUUUAUUUUCUUUGAAGUUAACAGUCAAUAACCUAAUCCCUGUUACAAUAUUAUAGAUGCAUGUAACUAUAUUAUAUAUCAUAAUAUGAUAUAUAUGACAAUAUGAUAUAUAUGAUAUAUAUGAAUCGAUUCAUAUAUAAUAUAGUAACAUACAUAUAUAAUAUAGUAACAAGAUAUAACAGUAAAAAAAAUUAUAUGUUUACUACUAAUAAUAAUUGAAAGUACUUUGAGUUACAGGAAAGUUCGAGUUAUCUGAGGUUUGAGAUAUUGGGAGUUUACUGUAUCCUUAUGAUUACUAUUUUUACAUUCCAUCUACAUAGAAUUUUGAAUUUUAUGCUUAAAGUUGCACUUUUUUAUAUAUAUAUAUAUAUUUUUUUUAAAUUUUAAUUUAUUAUACUUUUGCAACAUUUAAUAAAAAUACGUAUGAUAAAGCUUUAUUAAUAUAUCAAUGAUUUAACAUUUAGUGCAGAAAAAAAUUAAAUAAUACACUUAUUAAUGUUAGAAUAUGAUUGUUUUAUAUUUUAAUGGUGAAAAAAUCAAAAUUUUACAUGAUAUUUUUAGUAGAAAAUUUUAUAAGGAUUUCUUGAAAAAAUAAUGACAAAAUUGAUAGUUUUUCGUAACUUCAAAUGUUAUAACUUUUCCAAUUCUUAUCAAAAUGUAUACAAUUUGGUAUGAAAACAAAGAUAUAAAAAAGACAAGGCACCUACAACACCUAGUAAUAUGUUACGAAUGUAUAUUUGUUAAUGAAAGUUUUGUGUUUUUUAUUGAAAUUUUAAUUGCAAUUUUUUAUAUUCUAACAGACGAUCAUUAAAUAUGAUAGAUAAACAAGUAGAAAAGAAUAUAGUAAUACAUAAUACUCUCCUCAUAUGUAAUAAACUAAAUAUGUAAUUAAACGUAAAUCAAAUUGUUUAAACCGGAUAUGAUGAUUAAAUGUUGUAUCGGCAUGGUUUUAUCUGUCUACUUUGCUUUUUCAAUUUGGUUGCCAGCUUCAACCUAAUUCUUGAUUUAGAACUAUGAUUUUGAACUAAAACAUUUCCGUGUUGAAUAAAAUACUAUUUAUUCUUAACUGUAUUUUUUUUGAGGCUUCAGUUAUCAAAUGUUGGUGGUAAUUUUAGUUAUGCCACUGUGAAAGCGUCGAUUGUUAAUUAGACAUAAAAAGUUUGAAGUAUGCACAAAGCCUGAAAGUGUCAAAUAUGGAACCUAAAAAAACCUGCCUUUGUCACUGACUGUAUAAAGGUUUUUUAAGGUCUCUUUGUCAAGCGUCAAGUCAGGUUAUCUUGGUACUGGUACCAUUCCUGCUUAAGCAGGUUGUACGCCAUCCAUACGACAUUUGGGCAUCUGUUUGUAAAAUAUUGCUGCAAAUCUUUUUGAGAGAGCCAUUACUAUGGAGAACCAUCUAAACCAUACAAGUGUGGAAACAUGGAUAUUAAUGUGAAAUAAACUGAUGAGUUUAUUUAACUUAGCUGGUAAAAAAAAGAGUUUUCGUGAAACAAAUUUAAUGAAGAUAGUUAUAGAAUGAAGUUCAUUCAUUUGCUGGCAACAUUUUUAAACGUGGUCCAGGGGUCAAUGUUAUAAAACUUAUUAUCGGUGUAAAAUUCUACCGGCGAAAUUUUUACUCAGGAAUUUUUACAGCCGUAAAUUUAGAGACGUAAAAUGUUUUUUCAUUCAAUGUUAUAAAACUUUUACCGGCGUAAAAUUUUGAAGAUAUCUCUGCUCUGAAUUUAUUUUCGGAAAUCUACUGUCUGUAAUCAAUAACUUAAAAGGUUGUCAAAAGCAAAAUGUUUUUGAGUUGAAAACAUCAAAGUUAACAAAAAUUAACAGUUUCUUAUGGAUUCGGACUGUUCUGAUUCUGAUAAAGAAUAUUUUGUUGCUUUAGAAUAUUUGGCAAAUCAGAGACAACCACGAGAAAUAAAACUGUUCAAACAGUAUUUAAACUGUUAAGAAUACAAUUUAAAAGUAAAAAAAUGGUAUUGUCUUUAAUUUUUUACCCUACCCUAUAAAAAUAUUUGUAGAGCUUUUCUAUAAAAAUAACUUUUACUAUUUUUUAUAUAGAGGUUUCUUUAGACCAGAGUUGUUAAUUGGCCUUGACCUUGCCUUAAGACCAAAAACUGAGGCCUUGGCCUUGAAACUUUUGGCCUUGGCCUUGAAG
rnacentral:lncRNA from 1 species